AGGCUGAGUGUACACUUGCUUUCUUUUGAAUUGUCACCAUAUCAAAGACAAAAAAUAUCAAGACAGAAAAAUAAAAAAAUGGAAAAACAUGGCGAUACAAAACAUAUUUCUAGGCCAUAUUGCUACCAAAUAUCUUCAAGUCUAUUACAUCCAGACGUUUAAUGGUCUCUGUUUUUCUGUACGUUCUAUAGGGUUUCUCAAAAGUUUCCGUACAUAGGGGAAAUGAACACUUUUUAUCAAAAUGUAACUUUAUUUACAAACAUCCUCUGCAUGAUUCGUGUCUCCCAUCUUUGGCUCCGAGUUUGGCAACAGUGUUAUGUGUGAUGUGUUUGCCAUGCUUCCUGUUAAAGUCCAUCCCAACCUUGUGACAGCUUCCUGAUUCAGCCAUGAGAAUCAUUUCAAUACGUCCUUUUUUUGUCAAAGGCAUUCUUAAAGGCUGUCUGAAAACAGCCCUGACCUGCUGACUCAAGGCAUGGACUCCACAAGACCUCUGAAGGUGCGCUGUGGUAUCUGGCACCCAGAUGUUAGUAGCAGAUCCUUUAAGUUCUGUAAAAUGUGAGGUGGGCCCUCAUGGAUCGGACUUGUUUGUCCAGCAAAUCCCACAGAUGCUUGAUCGGAUUGAGAUCUGGGGAAUUUGGCGGCCAAGUCAAUACCUUGAACUCUUUGUCAUGUUCCACAACAAUGUACUUCCUGAACAAUUUUUGCAGUGUGGCAGGGCACAAUAUCCUGCUGGAAGUGGCCACUGCCUUUAGGGAAUACCGUUGCCAUGAAGGGUGUACUUGGUCUGCAGUAAUGUUUAGUUAGGUGAUACGUGUCAAAGUAACAUCCACAUGAAUGCCAAGACCCAGGGUUUCUCAGUGAAACAUCGCCCAGAGCAUCAUAUUGCCUCUGCCGGCUUGCCUUCUUCCCAUAGUGCAUGCUGGUGCCAUCUCUUCCCCAGGUGCUUUUGGUGGUGGACAGGGGUCAGCAUGGGCACUCUGACCAGUCUGUGACUACGUAGGCCCAUACACAGCAAGCUGAGAUGCACUGUGUGUUCUAUCAUAACCAGCAUUACAUUUUUCUGCAAUUUGUACUACAGUAGCUCUUCUGUGGGAUUGGCCCAGACAGUUUAGCCUUCGUUCCCCACAUGCAUCAUUGAGCCUUGGGCGCCCAUGACCCUGUCGCCGGUUCACCGUUUGUGCUUCCUUGGAUCACUUUUGCACAUCAACUUCGAGAACUGACUGUUCGCUUGCUGCCUGAUAUCUCCCACCCAUUGACAGGUGCCACUGUAACAAGAUAGUCAAUGUUAUCCACUUAACUGUCAGUGGUUAUAAUGUUAUUGCUGGUGUAUAUAAUAUAAACCAAGUAUGACAUUUUGCUAAAAAGUGUUCAUUUCCCCUAUUUAUGGAGACUUUUGGGACACCUUGUGGUUUGUUAACAUUGUUACACUGCCCCCAACUGGACACGCUCAUGUUACAUGUGAUUAUAUUAUGAAGAUGUGGGAGUAGUAAUCAGACAUUAAAAGGCAACUCAUGAGGCAUACGUAUUUUCAGGGCGUUGGGUCAGUUGCACAGAGGGGCCAAGGCUUAGUGUUUUCUUUACAAUUGUAAUUUUGCCUCUCAUCCAGUAGGAGACCCUAUCACAAACUGCUUCUUUUAUGUGGUUCAAGUGAAGGUAGCUUGAAUGAGGUAUAUAGGGCAGUUUAUUUAACAUAUUGCAGAUUUUGGGAAAAAAAAAACAUUGUUGAUUAUAAUUCUUGUUUUUUUUUUUUAAAUUC